GACGAGCUCUCCAAACGUUAUUCGGUAUCACUGGGCUUAAAGAGUUCGUAGGCGGCUUGACAGGUGAGGUGUGAAAGCCCACGGCCUAACCGUGGAAUUGCGCUUCAAACCGUCGGGCUAGAGGGAUGCAGGGGUAUGCGGAACAGAUGGUGGAGCGGUGAAAUGCGUUGAUAUCAUCUGGAACACCGGUGGCGAAAGCGGCAUACUGGGCAUUUUCUGACGCUGAGGAACGAAAGCUAGGGUAGCGAACGGGAUUAGAUACCCCGGUAGUCCUAGCCGUAAACGAUGAGCACUAGUCUGGGGGGACCCUCACAUCCUCCCGGACGUAGCGAAAGUGUUAAGUGCUCCGCCUGGGGAGUAUGGUCGCAAGGCUGAA
rnacentral:rRNA from 1 species